rnacentral:rRNA from 1 species
CCCAGACUCCUACGGGAGGCAGCAGUGGGGGAUAUUGCACAAUGGGGGGAACCCUGAUGCAGCGACGCCGCGUGGGUGAAGGAGCGUUUCGGCGCGUAAAGCCCUAUCGGCAGGGAAGAAGGAGGACGGUACCUGACUAAGAAGCCCCGGCUAACUACGUGCCAGCAGCCGCGGUAAUACGUAGGGGGCAAGCGUUAUCCGGAUUUACUGGGUGUAAAGGGGGCGCAGACGGCAGCGCAAGCCAGGAGUGAAAGCCCGGGGCCCAACCCCGGGACUGCUCUUGGAACUGCGCGGCUGGAGUGCAGGAGGGGCAGGCGGAAUUCCUGGUGUAGCGGUGAAAUGCGUAGAUAUCAGGAGGAACACCGGUGGCGAAGGCGGCCUGCUGGACUGCGACUGACGUUGAGGCCCGAAAGCGUGGGGAGCAAACAGGAUUAGAUACCCCAGUAAC